GGAAACCGUAGUAAUUCUAGAGCUACUACGAGCGUAAAUCCCGACUUCUGGAAGGGACGUAUUUAUUAGAUAAAAGGCCAGCCGGGCUUGCCCGACUCUUGGCGAAUCAUGAUAACUUCACGAAUCGCACGGCUUUAUGCAGGCGAUGUUUCAUUCAAAUUUCUGCCCUAUCAACUUUCGAUGGUAGGAUAGAGGCCUACCAUGGUGGUAACGGGUGACGGAGGAUUAGGGUUCGAUUCCGGAGAGGGAGCCUGAGAAACGGCUACCACAUCCAAGGAAGGCAGCAGGCUGCCAAAUUACCCGAAUGCCGCAACACGGCGAGGUAGUGACAAUAAAUAACAAGUACCGGGCAUUUUUGUCUGGUAAUUGGAAUGAGUACAAUGCUAGGAUCCCUUAACGGGUAUCCAUUGGAGGGCUUAAGUCUGGUGACUCAACACCGAGGUAAACUUACCAGGUCCAGACACGGAUAUUUAAGUUGAUUGACAGAUUGAGAAGCUCUUACUUGGAUUUCUGUGGGUGGUGGUGCAUGGCCGUUGGUUAGUACUGCUACGGCUACCUUGUCAGGUUGAUUCCGGUAACGAACGAGACCUCAGCCUGGGCUUAAAUAGUCCACGUCUACCUCGGAAGGCGCCUGACUUCUUAGAGGGUACUAUUGGCGUUUAGCCAAUGGAAAGUGUGAGGCAAUAACAGGUCUGUGAUGCCCUGAGAUGUUUUGGGCCGCACGCGCACUAACACUGAUGCAUUCAACGAGCCUAUCCUGUGGCCGAGAGGUCCGGGUAAUCUUUGAAAGGGCAUCGUCGAUGGGGAUAGAUUAUUGCAAUUAUUAGUGUUCAAAGAGGAAUGCCUAGUAAGCGCGAGUCAUCAGCUCGCGUUGAUUACGUCCCUGCCCUUUGUACACACCGCCCUUCGAUCCUACCGAUUGGGUGUGCUGGAGAAGUGUGGGAUCCCUUUUUGGGGCAACCUCUGUUGGUACUGAGAGGGAACAUUAAACCCUCCGCACCUAGAGGGAAGGGGAAGUUUUAACCCAAGGGGU
rnacentral:rRNA from 1 species